rnacentral:rRNA from 1 species
UCCCCACACCGGUGAGAAUGCCCUUAACAUCAAUAUAGAUCAAGAGGAGCGGGCAUUAAGCACACUAAUCAGUAGCUCAAGAUGCCUUGCUUAACCACACCCCCAAGGGAAACAGCAGUGAUAGAAAUUUAGCAAUAAACGCAAGUUUGACUAAGUUAUGCUACUCUAGGGUUGGUAAAUUUCGUGCCAGCCACCGCGGUCAUACGAUUAACCCAAACUAAUAAAUUCCCGGCGUAAAGCGUGAUUAGAAACGAACAAAAAAAAAAAUAAAUUCAAAUUGCAACUAAGCUGUAAAAAGUAAUAGUUAUAACCAAAAAUUAACAACGAAAGUGAUUUUACAACCUUCGAACUCACGAUAGUUAAGAUCCAAACUGGGAUUAGAUACCCCACUAUGCUUAGCCCUAAACUUAAAUGAUCCCAUAACAAAAUUAUUCGCCAGAGAACUACAAGCCAGAGCUUAAAACUCAAAGGACUUGGCGGUGCUUUAUACCCGCCUAGAGGAGCCUGUUCUAUAAUCGAUAAACCCCGAUAAACCUUACCACUCUUUGCCAACUCAGCCUAUAUACCGCCAUCUUCAGCGAACCCUAAAAAGGAACAAAAGUAAGCUUAAUUAUCCCCAUAAAAACGUUAGGUCAAGGUGUAGCCUAUAGAGUGGAAAGUAAUGGGCUACAUUUUCUUUUUCAGAACAUACGGAAGCCCUUAUGAAAUUCUAAGGGCCAAAGGAGGAUUU